CCACCCCAAAGAGAGUGGGAGCAUCAGGGUUGAGGGAGGGGUGAGCAGGCAGAGGAAGAAGCCAGGGUGCCCAGGAGUCCCCAGUCCAAGAGGGGAGGCCCAUGAAGCGCUCUCUGGCAACCCCCAGUCUGAAGAAAGAGUGCAAGUCUUAAUGGAUCAGGUUAAGGUGCAAACCAGGACAGAGAAGAUAAUCAUGGGGUGGGCUUGUAGGUGGAGGAGAUGCCCAGGGAACCUCGUGAUCAAAGUGGGAUGAUCCAGUUUCAGCUGACUUCAGAUGCACUGUGCUGCGUCUUCUGCAUUUGGGACCUUGCCUGUAUCCAGCUCUCGGAUGGUGGUGACCAGGGAUGUUUUGAGUUCUCCAGCCUCAUUCCUCGUCUGCCUCCUUAGGAGGCAGUUCUCCCAGGGGCAGAAGGUGAAUGGAUGGCAGUAAGAAUUCCCCCUCACUGUAACCCCUCCUCUUCUUCCCCUGAUAAUAACAGCAGUCGUAAAUGCCA
rnacentral:lncRNA from 10 species